rnacentral:tRNA from 1 species
GGCCUGGUGGUCUAGUAGUAUGAUUCCUUGUUAGGGUUGUUCUGAUAUCUCGAGGAGGUCCCGGGUUCAAUUCCCGGCCAGGCCC